GCUGGUAUGGUGUAAUGGUUUGAGUGUUGGACUACGACUCUGGAGAUCAGAGUUCGAUUCCCUGGUUGAACA